UUCGAUUUUAAUCGAUUACUAUUAGGGGUCUUUAUAAGUAUAUGCAAGGUCCAGCUACUUGUAAUAAUAUACGUAUAAAGAAGGAUAUUUAAAUACAAAUUGUGUUUGCUUAUUAAGCUAAUGCUACCUCUUACGCUGCUAAAGACGGCUCAGAGCCACCCUAUGUUAGUAGAGUUAAAGAAUGGAGAAACAUAUAAUGGACAUUUGGUUAGCUGCGAUUCCUGGAUGAAUAUAAAUCUCCGUGAUGUUAUUUGUACAUCUAAGGUAAGAUUGGAAUUAAAUUCGGUA